rnacentral:rRNA from 1 species
CCUACGGGAGGCAGCAGUGGGGAAUAUUGGACAAUGGGGGGAACCCUGAUCCAGCCAUGCCGCGUGUGUGAAGAAGGCCCUCGGGUUGUAAAGCACUUUCAGUGAGGAAGAACGCCUGGUGGUUAAUACCCAUCAGGAAAGACAUCACUCACAGAAGAAGCACCGGCUAACUCCGUGCCAGCAGCCGCGGUAAUACGGAGGGUGCGAGCGUUAAUCGGAAUUACUGGGCGUAAAGCGCGCGUAGGUGGCUUGAUAAGCCGGUUGUGAAAGCCCCGGGCUCAACCUGGGAACGGCAUCCGGAACUGUCAAGCUAGAGUGCAGGAGAGGAAGGUAGAAUUCCCGGUGUAGCGGUGAAAUGCGUAGAGAUCGGGAGGAAUACCAGUGGCGAAGGCGGCCUUCUGGACUGACACUGACACUGAGGUGCGGAAGCGUGGGUAGCAAACAGGAUUAGAUACCCCAGUAGUC